rnacentral:rRNA from 1 species
CACCGCGGUUAUACGAGAGACUCAAGUUGAUAGUCAUCGGCGUAAAGAGUGGUUAAGACGAAUAGAAACUAAAGCCAAAUGCCUUCAAAACUGUUAUACGCUCUCGAAGGUGAGAAGCUCAACUACGAAAGUGGCUUUAUUAUAUCUGACUCCACGAAAGCUAGGGUA